GGAUCAUAGUAUGAGAAAAAACAGAUGUACUCCAGCAUUGCACUGUUUUUUGCAAAAUUCUUUUCCUCGAUGAACUCAAAAUGUUUUUAUUAAAUUAUGGUUAUGUCAUGGAGAACAUGACUGUAAAAAUCAUAUCUGUUUAGCUUAAAAAGUCUUGCCAGAACACAGAAUAUGAAGGACACAGCAAAAGUCUUACUGAUAUGAUAUUGUUCUAAUAUAAUAUACACUUAUGAUUACAGCAGUGUUUCCUGCUGCUGGAGGAAGUGCUGGAGUGUGCUGUUUCAGAGAGCUGGAAGAGAAGGCUGGCUUUUAUGAAUCUCUCUGCCUUGUGUGAGCUUAAUGCUUGUGAAGAGUACUGGAUUGGAAAUCAAAUGUGUGUGGAAAAAACGUCUGAUGAUAGUAUCCCGUGAUAAUGGUCUAAAAUACUACAGUUCCAAGUGACUACACUAAAAUAUUGCAACACAUCAGCAAAGGUGCCCUGGCCCACAGAUCACAAAGUUCCUCAAGAAACAGCCGAACCAGUAUGGACCAUAUAUUAGAAUGCAGGAAAAGGCAUGGGGGCAUUAGAGUGGACACACACUGAGCUUGAGUCAACAGUACAUAUUUGUGCGCCCUUCCCACAUAUCACACUUGGAGGUAUAAAGCGGACGGGGCACGGCCUUUCCACCCUGCGCACCACUACAGGGCUCCGCUAAUCGCUGACCGGCUGGGAGAGACGCAGGACGGCCAGAGGUCUAGCAGAGCUGACCACUGAAGGAGUCGGGGUUGUUUAGUCUAAGGCGAACAGACUGAGGACAAACACAGCAACAGUUUUCACAUUGUUAAAGAUUGUUGCAAAGAAGGAAGUGAUAAAUUGCUCUCCCUGUGGCUGUGAAUGCCUAGUGCAGAGGGACUGGGUUAAACACCACGAAAAACUUCCCACUUGCAAAUGGAGCACUGGAAUAGAUGAUGCAGAGUUGUCUUCACAGGAGGCUUCAACAAAGUUUGACAAAACAUCGUGAGAAUGGUUCAGCUGAUGCUGCUUGAAAGCAAAGAGCAGUGUGGGGAGCUCUCAGGACCCUAACUAUUCAGUUUUCUUAUUGCUUGUCAAGUGACAUGACAUCACUCAUCCCUCUUUGCCCCAUGCAAUACCAGGACAAUCAAUUGUAUAAAUCUGACAGAAUCAUUUCCAAAAUGGAAUUCUGUUUUUAAAUAAAUUACC